UCUCUCAAAACCCUAGUCCUCUAUAUCUCUAUCUCCUCGGCCCUCUGCUGCAGUUCGACCUUCUGCUGGUCGUAAAUCUCGGAUUCUCAGAAAUGCUUUCAAAAAUGAGCUGACAUUGUUAGAAAAGGUUCGGCAUCCUAAUGUGGUUCAGUUUGUGGGAGCUGUUACUCAGAAUAUACCCAUGAUGAUUGUUUCCCAGUACCAUCCAAAAGUAAGCAUCUUUGCAUUCAUAUGGAAAUUUUCUAAUAGCACACUUGGUUGCUGCAGUCUGCUAUAAAAGUUUGGUUGUCCUAUUUGUGAUCUAAUUUUUUAUUUUUUAUUUUUUAUUUCUUUGAGUUGUCCCAUAAUUCCAUUCUAAUGCAGUUUCCCCAUACAUUUUACUUGUUUACAUCGAUGUUGAUAAUACAUAUGGCAUCACUUAAAAUAUUAUUUUGAAGACUGCAUUGUCUAGGAAACAUAUAUGUAUGUCAUUAAACCAUAUGGAUUCUUGUACUUCGGUGGAUUUCAGGGAGAUUUGGCAAUUACCUUCAAAAGAAAGGACGUCUACAGCCUUCUAAAGCUCUGAGAUUUGCUCUUGAUAUUGCUAGCCAGCUUGUUUUCACCAUAUUGCAAAGUGGGACUGCACGGGACAACUUCCCGACAAAUCAACAAUCAUUGUUUGGCGGUCUGAAACACAAUGAAUGGUGAUUUGGAGUGUCAAGUAUGGUUACCUGAUUUGGCAAUUCUGCUUCUAUCCUUGUGCUUCUGUGUUGGAAUGUAACUCUUUAGAGAUGGAAACCUCUCGUUACAAAUAUCAUGUGGAUGAACUUGUUCAGGCAAGUAUCUACUUUCUCUUAUGCAAUGUGUUUCUAAAAUUUAUCAUCAUCACCAGAAAAAGGUAACAGUGUCUUUUUGCCACUGUCUAAUCUUUUAUUUUCCCUUGAACAGUUUUUACCCUACUUUCAGAGCUUGCUAGUUUCAAGUUAAAAUCCAUAUACACUGCAAUGAAUAUUUUAUAUUGCCCAAAAUCUUCUUUUUGUGGGAAAUAAAAGAAGAACGUUAACAUGUCGGUUCAAAUGGGAUUCAGGUGGGCCUACUCAUUUAUGAAAAAAAAAAAAAACUGAUUUAGAAUUACAUGGAAAUUGGUCACAUACCCAGCUUGUCUGCAGUUUCUUUCUGGUCAAUCACUAUCUUUGGAGUGUUCAGAUUCGAGAAGUGUACAGAAACCUUCACAUGCACAUAGAUGCAUUUGACAUCUAAGUCAGGAUCUGGCUAAUUGGUAUUCACUUUAUGCUUUCUUUGCAAAGGUACAUCUAUACAGGAGAUUUCUUCCGAGUAGCUUGAGGAAAGGAGAUUUAUAUCAUGCAGAGGCAACUGCAAAUUUC